AUGCAAGUCGAACGAGAAUCUACUGAAAGAGUUUUCGGACGAUGGAAGUAGAGGAAAGUGGCGGACGGGUGAGUAACGCGUGAGGAACCUGCCUUGAAGAGGGGGACAACAGUUGGAAACGACUGCUAAUACCGCAUGAAGCAUAGGGGUCGCAUGAUUCUUAUGCCAAAGAUUUAUCGCUUCAAGAUGGCCUCGCGUCUGAUUAGCUAGUUGGCGGGGUAACGGCCCACCAAGGCGACGAUCAGUAGCCGGACUGAGAGGUUGAACGGCCACAUUGGGACUGAGAUACGGCCCAGACUCCUACGGGAGGCAGCAGUGGGGAAUAUUGGGCAAUGGGCGCAAGCCUGACCCAGCAACGCCGCGUGAAGGAAGAAGGCUUUCGGGUUGUAAACUUCUUUUAAGAGGGAAGAGCAGAAGACGGUACCUCUAGAAUAAGCCACGGCUAACUACGUGCCAGCAGCCGCGGUAAUACGUAGGUGGCAAGCGUUGUCCGGAUUUACUGGGUGUAAAGGGCGUGCAGCCGGGUCUGCAAGUCAGAUGUGAAAUCCAUGGGCUCAACCCAUGAACUGCAUUUGAAACUGUAGAUCUUGAGUGUCGGAGGGGCAAUCGGAAUUCCUAGUGUAGCGGUGAAAUGCGUAGAUAUUAGGAGGAACACCAGUGGCGAAGACGGAUUGCUGGACGAUAACUGUCGGUGAGGCGCGAAAGUGUGGGGAGCAAACAGGAUUAGAUACCCUGGUAGUCCACACUGUAAACGAUGAAUACUAGGUGUGCGGGGACUGACCCCCUGCGUGCCGCAGUAAACACAAUAAGUAUUCCACCUGGGGAGUACGAUCGCAAGGUUGAAACUCAAAGGAAUUGACGGGGGCCCGCACAAGCGGUGGAUUAUGUGGUUUAAUUC
rnacentral:rRNA from 1 species